GAUGAACGCUGGCGGCGUGCCUAAUACAUGCAAGUCGAGCGAACAGAUGAGGAGCUUGCUCCUCUGACGUUAGCGGCGGACGGGUGAGUAACACGUGGAUAACCUACCUAUAAGACUGGGAUAACUUCGGGAAACCGGAGCUAAUACCGGAUAACAUAUUGAACCGCAUGGUUCAAUAGUGAAAGGCGGCUUUGCUGUCACUUAUAGAUGGAUCCGCGCCGCAUUAGCUAGUUGGUAAGGUAACGGCUUACCAAGGCAACGAUACGUAGCCGACCUGAGAGGGUGAUCGGCCACACUGGAACUGAGACACGGUCCAGACUCCUACGGGAGGCAGCAGUAGGGAAUCUUCCGCAAUGGGCGAAAGCCUGACGGAGCAACGCCGCGUGAGUGAUGAAGGUCUUCGGAUCGUAAAACUCUGUUAUCAGGGAAGAACAAAUGUGUAAGUAACUGUGCACGUCUUGACGGUACCUGAUCAGAAAGCCACGGCUAACUACGUG
rnacentral:rRNA from 1 species